AAGAUCAUACUUCACAGGAUCAUUUCUGUAGUAUAUCUUCACAUCCUCUCUACUCUAUAGUUGAGUCGAUACAGCCACGAUGACGAGGAGUAAUCCUCUUCCCUGAGCGUGAGGAAGGCUGAAAUCUUGACUUUCGUCGAGAAUUCAGCCAUCGAUGAUCGUUCACUCUUUGGAUUUGAUUCAAAGAGCUUGGGAAGUGGAUAUUCUGAGUGGU